rnacentral:lncRNA from 1 species
GGGGGCUUGAGUCUGAGGCUUACACCUUCCCUGAGCUGGGCAUGAAGCCCUGUGAACCUGCCCGCCUGUGAGCUGUGCUUCGCACUGAUGGGCUCUUGGAUGCUCCAAAGGAAAAUAGCAGCGAAACCUGCUGCUUUUCACUUUCAAAUGACAGACCCGUAGGAAGCCUGGGGGCAAUGCCACAGAGGAUGUAAAAGCUCUCAGGUCCACCCUGAGCUUUGGAAUGAGAAGAGAAUGGUGAUGUCCUUUUGCUGCUGCCUGUCACUCUUCCACAGCAACUGAGCCAGGCUAGCGAGCCUGUCUUGUGACUUGGCACUACACAGAGCCGCUCGCUAAACACCUAAAGGCCCACGCUUUAUGCUUCUUGUGAGGGAGAAACACAAUUGUGUUCAGCCCUUACUGAGAAGCCGGAGCAAAAAUUGAAUGUGUGUGACUGUUUUCCAGAGCCUGACAUACCAAGGAUACUUAGAGCACAGUCACUGAGUGAGCGGAUGCCUGGAUCCAGCCACCUAAAGAGGUUCUUCCAGAUGCUUCCAGCCCUCAGCAGAUUGCCAUCAGCAGUCCACACCCGGCUGGUUUGCACCUCCCUCUGCUGGACUUUGAGCUGCGCGCCAAAAGAAAGAUGCACCUGAUGGAGGUGCUUUCUUUAACCGACAUACAGUUGAAGGAAAGACGGUCUCCUGAUGGAUGUCUGCAAUGAUUAAGAGGGAAUGCUUCUGGUACCCUUUCCCUCGGAUGCCCGUGAAGGGCUCGGGCAUCACCAGCCACUGUCCCAGCCCGGGCUCUAAGUCUGACCCAAGCCGAAGUGCCUGCGCCCCGCUAUGCGCUCCAUCACCACUAGAGGGAGUAAAGAGCGGGCUCUUCCCUGUGCUCUGUCCUCCAUAGCCUUGCCUAGGAAAGAAAGAUCCCUCCAAGUCAAAGUGAGAGGAGGUCUAACUGGGAAGAUGAUCAAUGGUGCGGUGGGUAGGGAACAAGUGAGGUAAUGGGAGGGUGGAUAUGAUGAUAUGAUAUGAUAUGAUAUGAUAUGAUAUGAUAUGAUAUGAUAUGAUAUGAUAUGAUAUAUGAAUCUUAUAAUAAAAGUCAUUAUUUUGUAUAAUUAAUAUAUACUAAUAAAG